rnacentral:rRNA from 1 species
GACGAACGCUGGCGGCGUGCUUAACACAUGCAAGUCGAACGGAAAGGCCCUGCUUUUGUGGGGUGCUCGAGUGGCGAACGGGUGAGUAACACGUGAGUAACCUGCCCUUGAUUAUGGGCUAACUUCAGGAAAAUGGGGCUAAUACCGGAUCGGUGCUCCUGCUUCAUGGUGGGGGUCGGCAUGUUUCGGCGGUUGGUGAUGGAUCGCCGGCUUAUUAGCUCGUUGGUGGGGAAGUGGCUUACCAAGGCAUUGCCGGGUAGCCGGCCUGAGAGGGUGACCGGCCAGAUAGGGACUGACAUACAGCCCAGACAGCUACGGGAGGCAGCAGGGAGGAAGGAUGCACGAUGAGCGGGAGCCUGAUUGAGGAAGGCAGGGUGCGGGAAGACGGCCGUCUGUUUGUAUGCCGCUUUCUCCUGUGACGAAGCGUUAGUGACGGUAAUGGGUAAGGAAGCACCGGCUAACUACGUG